GGGCCCGCACAAGCGGUGGAGCAUGUGGUUUAAUUCGAUGCAACGCGAAGAACCUUACCAGGGUUUGACAUCCUGCGAAUCUCUUGGAAACGAGAGAGUGCCUUCGGGAACGCAGUGACAGGUGGUGCAUGGCUGUCGUCAGCUCGUGUCGUGAGAUGUUGGGUUAAGUCCCGCAACGAGCGCAACCCACGUCGUUAGUUGCCAGCAUUUAGUUGGGCACUCUAGCGAGACCGCCGGUGAUAAACCCGGAGGAAGGUGAGGACGACGUCAAGUCAGCAUGCCCCUUACGCCCUGGGCUACACACGUACUACAAUGGCCGAGACAAAGAGCAGCAAGUUUGCAAAGACAAGCCAA
rnacentral:rRNA from 1 species